UACGUAGGGCGCGAGCGUUGUCCGGAAUUAUUGGGCGUAAAGAGCUCGUAGGCGGUUUGUUGCGUCGGCUGUGAAAUCCCGAGGCUCAACCUCGGGUCUGCAGUCGAUACGAGCAAACUAGAGUGUUGCAGGGGAGACUGGAAUUCCGGGUGUAGCGGUGGAAUGCGUAGAGAUCCGGAAGACACGGUGGCGAAGGCGGUUAGCUGGGGUCGGACUGACGCUGAGGCGCGACAGC
rnacentral:rRNA from 1 species